UACAGAGGUCCCGAGCGUUGUUCGGAUUUACUGGGCGUAAAGGGCUCGUAGGCGGCCAACUAAGUCAGACGUGAAAUCCCUCGGCUUAACCGGGGAACUGCAUCUGAUACUGGAUGGCUUGAGUUCGGGAGAGGGAUGCGGAAUUCCAGGUGUAGCGGUGAAAUGCGUAGAUAUCUGGAGGAACACCGGUGGCGAAGGCGGCAUCCUGGACCGACACUGACGCUGAGGAGCGAAAGCCAGGGGAGCAAACGGG
rnacentral:rRNA from 1 species